AUUGACUAACAACUUUUAUAUUGUAAAUAUUUAUCUUUUUUAUUUCUUUCCUUGUUUACAAGAAAAUAGAUGACUCGAGUGUUACAAACAAUAGUUUUUAAGGAAUAAUGUGAAAUAAGUUAAUUUUUAUUUGGUAAAAAACGUAAUCAACGUGAUAACUUAAUAACAUUAAGUAGUCCUACCAGACACUAACUUAGAUGAUCCUGGAGCAAAGGCUGUAAUUUGACCUGAACCCAAAUUGGUCUCUAUUUUAAAUAUUGUCUUGAACCAAUAAGUUAAGAGGACUAACCUUUCUGGACGACAUUGCCAUCGACAUCACUGCAGAUGAGAGAGAAAGAGAGACCAGAGUUGUGGACCCUGGAGGCAAUUACCAUACUGCCGUGAUAAUGUUACUUGGUCUAACCAUAACUUAAGUGAGGUGAACAUUCUUUCCCCUUUGUGAUAGAUUCUAGGCUAUGUUUGUUAACUAAGUUAUUCAAUGUUCAAAUCGGUACUUUGGGGAGAGGUGCCAGAGGAAGAGGAGAUCGAGGAUGGGGCGAAGUAAAGACUAAGAUUGAAGAGAACUAACUAAUGGCCUGAUGACAGGGUGGAUGGCGAUGGAGGCAUGGAGGUUGGGGGAGAGGAGGCUGAAGAAGUGGAGACAAAUCAGUUUGGAUCCAUUAUGUUGAUUAGUUUAACAUUUAUUUUGAACAUCAGUAUUUACAUUUUUUUCUCAUUUAGAUUAUUAAAUUAAGAUAAUUUUAUUGUUUUUAUGAAGAUUUUUUCUUACAUUUUUAAUAUUUGUUUGUACUUCUGCCUGGUAAAAAAAAAAACUGUUUAUUAUGUUUGUUAAAAUGAUUACUUUCACUAACUUACCUUGUCUUGGGUAACAAGAGAUAUCUUGAUAUUUAACUAGCAGGGUGCCUGUUCUAUGGGCGGGGAUUGUAUAAGUCAGUAGAAACCUUCUUAUAUUUCGAUACUUGGUAAAUUAAUCAUUUCCAACUUUAUAUAGUAUAGAUCGCUAUUCCUGUAUUGAUGUACUGAAAUGAAUAAAAUUAUAUGAAAUGAAA